AACUAACGCUGGCGGCGCGUCUUAAACAUGCAAGUGGAACGAGAACCAUUUCCUUCGGGAGAUGUUUCUAGUCGCAAACGGGUGAGUAACACGUGGGUGAUUUUCCCUGAAGUUGGGGAUAGCUCCGGGAAACCGGAAUUAAUACCGAAUGUGAUCAAUGAUUCACAAGAGAUACUGAUUAAAGCAGCAAUGCGCUUCAGGAUAAGCCCGCGGCCCAUUAGCUUGUUGGUGGGGUAAAGGCCUACCAAGGCUGCAAUGGGUAGCCGGCCUGAGAGGGUGAUCGGCCACACUGGGACUGAGAUACGGCCCAGACUCCUACGGGAGGCAGCAGUUAAGAAUAUUGGACAAUGGGGGCAACCCUGAUCCAGCGACGCCGCAUGAGCGAUUGAAGGCCUUCGGGUUGUAAAGCUCACUAAGUAGGGACGAAGAAAGUGACGGUACCUACCUAUAGCACCGGCUAAUUACGUGCCAGCAGCCGCCGUAA
rnacentral:rRNA from 1 species